UACGGAGGGGGCUAGCGUUGUUCGGAAUUACUGGGCGUAAAGCGCGUGUAGGCGGUCCGGUAAGUCCGCUGUGAAAGUCGGGGGCUCAACCCUCGAAUGCCGGUGGAUACUGUCGGGCUAGAGUACGGAAGAGGCGAGUGGAAUUCCUGGUGUAGCGGUGAAAUGCGCAGAUAUCAGGAGGAACACCAAUUGCGAAGGCAGCUCGCUGGGACGUUACUGACGCUGAGACGCGAAAGCGUGGGGAGCAAACAGG
rnacentral:rRNA from 1 species